UACGUAGGUGGCGAGCGUUACCCGGAAUCAUUGGGCGUAAAGGGAGCGCAGGCGGUGACUUAAGUCUGAUGUGAAAUCCCACGGCUCAACCGUGGAAGGUCAUUGGAAACUGGGUCACUUGAAUAUAGAAGAGGAAAGUGGAAUUCCAUGUGUAGCGGUGAAAUGCGUAGAUAUAUGGAGGAACACCAGUGGCGAAGGCGACUUUCUGGUCUAUAACUGACACUGAGGCACGAAAGCGUGGGGAGCAAACAGGAUUAGAUACCCCGGUA
rnacentral:rRNA from 1 species